CCUCCUGCCAGCCUGUGGUAGCUCACAGACCCCGCCCGAUGGUUCCACCACUGCUUUAAGACGCUCCUGCCAAAAGGGUUUUUCUGGCCCUUCUCUCCCUGGUCAUUGUUCUCCUACACUUUGUGAAAACUCCUGCUAGUGAAAACUAACCACUUUAUUUGUAUUUUUUCAGGUUAAUUUUCAGCAGAAGUUCCCUUAUCUAACUGGCCACAUGGUUUCAUGACUGCUCAUGCUCAGACAAGACACGGUGAACUGGAAGACAAAUGGGAUAUAUAAGUUUGUGAAGGAACUUUUCUGGGAUAGUGACAGACUUCACUUAACACCUUGGAGACAUAGUAAAGUAAGUUAAACAGAGUAUCAAGAAUGUCUCACAUAGUUUUCUCUGCUGUUGAGGACCCCGCUCCCAGAUAACAGGGUAAUAUAAGCUAAGUACUUGAGUCAGCAUUCCUGGCUGCUAAGGUAAAAAUCUAGUAAUAGUGCCCAUUACACAGUGUGGUAUUUCUGUCAUAAAAGAUGGGAAAAGCACUAAACUGUCUUUUUUUAUUUAAGAAGCAUCUUGUGCUUUCAGAUUAUUUUUUUGUUUGUUUGUUAAAGGUAUAUAUCUUAACACCAAUGGGCAAGCUGCAGCAUAAAGUAAUGCACCAUUAAACAUAUGUAAAUGCAGAGAAAAAAUUUAAAUGCGAAGAGGUUUCUGAAAAUGAAAUUGAUAUAAUGGGCUUAAUAAGUAAAUAUCCUAAUGCAAAUAAGACAUUAAUUGAACAUUCCCUAGCGAAGUAAGAAUGAGUGAUUUUUUUGUUCUAAGUGAGUUAUGUAUCCUUUAGGUGCCUGUUUGUGUGAUGCUUGCUAGCUUUUGUUGAGCGUACAGCUCUGAAUACAACUACCUAUAAUUCAAGGAGCUGGAAAGAAAUUGUUCCAUGGCUGGUUAAAAAAAAUUACUGCAGAUACUGUUCCUGCUAAACCAAAUUUCUGGGUACUGAUGGCUGUUUUUUCAUAGUUAAGUGUGUCCAUUAGUGUGCAUAAGGAACAGGUAAAGGCAUUCAAUUAUGUUGUUGAGGGGUUAACCUUCUGUGACGGGACUAAUGUGGUGCUUGACUAAGAAAUGAUUGACUUCAGGUUCUCUUCAGGUUUCAAAACAAGAGGCAAAAAGAACUAGAAGAUGACUUUUAUAGCAACAGUUGGUAGCCUUUCACUGAUGUUUAAAUAAAUUACACUUGACUGAUCACUGUCCAAAGAAUCUCAGAACUUUUCAAGUAGGCAUGAAAAACAAACCCUGCUGCUACUUCUGGCUUUGCCAGGGUGAGUCUGUAGUAACAUUAUCAAAGUCACUGUUUAGGAAGUAUAGGAAAAUACAUCAGUUUUGGAGCAUGCUCUUCCACUGUGUUGAAUAGUUCUCUAAAACCACUGGAAUGACAUUGCCCAGACGUCCAGCUUGCUUCAAGGAAAAAGUUCAAAAACUGUCUUUCACUUUGUAGUUAUUAGGAGAUCCUGCCAUGCUUCCCAAAGUAGGUGAAUCUUACACAACCUUGGGUUUAUGAUAUUUUGUUCCCUUUUCUCUACGUAUCUGAUGGGAAGAAAGUAUAUCCAAUUCAAAAGUCAUCUUAAAAUGACCUUUGGAAAAGUGUAAGAUGCUCUUGUUUCUUUGGUAUGAUAUAAUUAGCUUAGGUUUUAGUACUGAAUGAAGGUACUGGAAAACCAGGCUGUAUCAGUUGUUUGCAUUAUUAUUUUACUUUCUUGAUGGUUUACUGUCUUGAUUAGGAAAUUGUGUCCCCCUGGGAGCUUCAGACAAAGUGAUAGAUUUUUCUGACAGAAAAAUACACUGCAUCCUGUAGAUGGUGGCUUUUUUGUGCAGGUAAAAAUGUGUGGAGAGAUGAAGCACUAGAAUAGCUGAUGGGUCUUUGUUGUUUGUUUUUAAAAAAAACCACCCUUGUACACAAGGCACAGGUUUUCUGGCACUUUUUAAAGCAGCUUAUUCAGCUGUAAAGAUUUGGGGUUGCUGUUUAAUUAGCUGUUUAGAAUUGUACACUUUGCAUAAUCGCUAUUUGACUACACUCUGCAAAAGGAGGAAGUUCAGUCUAUUCGUUCCUCAACUAAAACAAUCUAAAACGCGAAUCAUACUUUCCGAUUUGUCUUCAUUGUGCUCAAGUUUUAAGGUAACUAAUUCUUCCAGGGAAAGACAGUGUGACUUCUGCCUGAUCAGUUGUUAUUAUUUCAGUCUUGUGCAUAGUCUUAUCUUUCAAAUAGAAUUUCCUGUAGGUGGAAGUCAAUAUAUUCCAAGACACUGGAAUGUGAAUAGUUUAUUUGACUUGGGAGUGGUGGAAACAAUAAGCUGCUCUGCAGUGUUAAAUAUAAAAAAAUCAGAAUUGAAACUGAUACGAGUCUGUAUAUGAGUUUUUUGUACCUGAGAUUUUCCCACAUAAUAUAUACACCCACAUACAAGUGUGUGUAUUCGUGUACAUAAAAACCUCUUCAAAAUGUUUUGUAUUGGUUACUUUUCGCAUUGUAGUCAGAUCUGAGCGUGCUUGUCAAAGUUAUUCUAUCAUAAUAGAACAGAAAAUUAAUGUUUUUUUUAAAAAAAAUUUAAAUGCAUGCAUAUUUUUUGUAACUGGUAGCAUGGCUAGCUAUAUUUUUAUCAGCAUUUCUCCUGUAUUCCCAAGGGCUCUAAAAUGUGCAAUUAAGGCUAGCAGGAAAGAUCUUGCAGUUCGUUCUGAAAUCCUGGCAGAUUAUGUUUGAAGUACUACCUUCAUAACUAUGGAUGCUGACCAGAACAGGCUGGGAUGUGAGGCAGGCAUUUCCAAGAGACAUCCUAGCAGAGCCUGUCUCCUGGCAUCCUUGUGUCCAGAGUCCCCCUCCAUGCUCUCUUCUCCUCCACAUCUUUCUUUGUUGUUCCACUUCCACCCUCAUCCAGUGCCCCCUGCUCAGCCCUUGCCCCCUCCCAGGUGGGCAGCAGCAGGAUUUGGCCCCAGCUGCCCCCUGCUUUGCUCUUGGUGGGGUUUAGCAUAGCGGCACUUGCUGAAGGCUUGGGCUGAGGGGUGACACAGGGCUGGUGCUGGGGCACAAGCACUUUCAGGUAGGCAUUCAUAAAGCUUGCAGCAGUAUUCCUCAAUUCCUGUUUUGACUGUUGUCUAUAGAUAUUGAUGAAAAGCUCCAUUCAUGACAAAGGCAGGAAGCUUUUAACAUGAAAACAGUCAAACUGUUGUCACAAUUCAAAGCAAAUAUGAGGCCUGGAUAGAAACACAAUAUAAACAUUCCCAGGAGAGCUUCUUGAGACUUGUUAUGCGGAGCAAAGUUGGCACAGUGUCUCAUUUGCAACACUAAAAAUCAAAUGUUUUUGUUUAUUGUUUUUACAAUAUUGAAGUGACAUUUUAUUUGCCUUAAGAAUAAGUUGCUGACGCACAAGACUUCUCUGCCCACUGAGUCACACCAGAUGAGCUCUCCUGCUGUAGUCACAAGUGUCUGCUCGGCAGACUUGUUUUAGCAACUGAAAAAUCAAUAAUUCAUUCAUAGCUGAGAUAAAAAGCUCAAGCCCAUUACGAGAUUACCACCACUGUGAAGACUUUCAGUUGUAUUCGUACUAAAAGAGGAGGAGACUGAGAGUGUUUGCUACUUAUAGUUUGGUCUACUACCUAUUUUCUUUUUUUGUAAGGUGCCUAUCAUCAGGCUAUCUAAGUAACAAUAAAAUAGUCACUCAACUGUUAUACUAAACACUGCUUUCAAGAUAACUUAGUAUAAUGAAAAUGAAACUUGUUUUGAUGAUGAUAAAAAUGUUUGUUCAAUAAUUUGUACCAUAAUUCCCAAGUGAACAAGUAGCCCUUGAGUUCAUGAAGAAAAAUAAUUUCAUUAAUUGUUACUCGAUAACAUCUUGCAGCUGAAAAAUACAAAUCACUAUGUAACUGAUUACACUAAUUUACAUGCAAGAGGAAUCGCUCUAGAGGAGGGGAUGUGCAAAAGUUCAGAACAAAAUUAACAAAUGUAUAAUAUUAAAGGGAAGGCAGCCAAUUUUGAAUUGGAUUACAAAUGAGCAAGUUUCCAUAUUUGCAAUAUAUUGUAGAAACAAUGGAAAUAGGCCAAAAUUGGCAAGCGUUUGUAUAUUUUUCUCAUUUAUUUAAAAACUUUUUACCUGUUACUACCACUAUGGUAGCUACUGUCUCUUCAAUCUUAAGAAGCUUAUAGUCAUCCAUAGCAUUUGGUUCUUCGUCUGAGUGUAUAGCUAAAAGGCUAUGGGAAAAAUAAUCCUUGUCAACUCCUGCUAUGGUGAAUCUAUUGAGCAUGUGAAAGACCAGUUUUAGGCCUGGUAUUUUCUGCAGACUGUUACUCUGACGGCAUAGUCAUCGGCAAUCACUGGGCUGUGUUUCCAUUUAUAAUUUCUUCAGAGUCAAAUCUCAUUGUCCUCUUCUCCUUCCUGCCUGACACCAGAUUACUGCUGUGGCUGGUCCCUGUUGGCGUGGCUGUACCCUAACCCAGUCUUCUGAAAGAAUCCAAUUAAAAAGGCUGCCGAAAAGA